UAUGCAAGUGAUGAUAAACUAGACAGGGACAUCAGCACUCCCUUGUGGAAAUGGUGACUUAGUCUAAUGGGAAUCUCUCUGAUGCAUA